rnacentral:rRNA from 1 species
GGGUCGCCUCCGUGGUGGGCCCAUAUCACUGACACCCACAGGCGCAGACAACUCGAUCGUUAGCCGGGAUUACGGGUACGGUAUUGGCGCAAGCCUUCGCCGGGCCCCUCCAUCCCAGGGUGUCCCGUUACGGGUGCUUGCACCCAGCGGGCAUCCCCGGAGUGCGUAGGAUGUGACCCGAAAGAUGGUGAACUAUGCCUGAUCAGGUCGAAGUCAGGGGAAACCCUGAUGGAGGACCGAAGCAAUUCUGACGUGCAAAUCGAUUGUCAGAGUUGGGCAUAGGGGCGAAAGACCAAUCGAACCAUC